rnacentral:rRNA from 1 species
GAUGAACGCUAGCGGGAGGCUUAACACAUGCAAGUCGAGGGGCAGCAUAGGGUAGCAAUACUCUGAUGGCGACCGGCAAACGGGUGAGUAACGCGUAUGCAACCUACCCUGUACAGGGGGAUAACCCGGAGAAAUUCGGACUAAUAUCCCGUAAUAAUAUCCGGAGGCAUCUUUGGAUAUUUAAAGUUUCGACGGUACGGGAUGGGCAUGCGUAACAUUAGCUGGUUGGUAAGGUAACGGCUUACCAAGGCUAUGAUGUUUAGGGGUCCUGAGAGGGUGGUCCCCCACACUGGUACUGAGACACGGACCAGACUCCUACGGGAGGCAGCAGUGAGGAAUAUUGGUCAAUGGGCGCAAGCCUGAACCAGCCAUCCCGCGUGCAGGAAGACGGCCCUAUGGGUUGUAAACCUCUUUUGCAGGGGAAGAAGAAGAUGACGGUACCUUGCGAACAAGUCCCGGCUAACUACGUG